rnacentral:tRNA from 1 species
GGCCCCAUCGUCUAGAGGCCCAGGACAUUGGAUUUUCAGUCCAAGUACGGGGGUUCGAAUCCCCCUGGGGUCA